AGAGUUUGAUCCUGGCUCAGGAUGAACGCUAGCGAUAGGCCUAACACAUGCAAGUCGAGGGGCAGCACAUGAAGUAGCAAUACGGAUGGUGGCGACCGGCGCACGGGUGAGUAACGCGUAUGCAAUCUACCUACAACAAGGGAAUAACUCGUUGAAAGACGGACUAAUACUCUAUAAAACAGGGGUCCCGCAUGGGAAUAUUUGUUAAAGAUUUAUCGGUUGUAGAUGAGCAUGCGUUCCAUUAGCUUGUUGGUGAGGUAACGGCCCACCAAGGCAACGAUGGAUAGGGGAACUGAGAGGUUUAUCCCCCACACUGGUACUGAGACACGGACCAGACUCCUACGGGAGGCAGCAGUGAGGAAUAUUGGUCAAUGGAGGCAACUCUGAACCAGCCACGUCGCGUGAAGGAAGACGGCCCUACGGGUUGUAAACUUCUUUUGUAAGGGAAUAAAGUGCAGUACGUGUACUGUUUUGCAUGUACCUUACGAAUAAGGAUCGGCUAACUCCGUGCCAGCAGCCGCGGUAAUACGGAGGAUCCAAGCGUUAUCCGGAUUUAUUGGGUUUAAAGGGUGCGCAGGCGGAAGAUUAAGUCGGCGGUGAAAUUUUGCAGCUCAACUGUAAAAGUGCCUUCGAAACUGGUUUUCUUGAGUGUGGAUGAAGUAGGCGGAAUUUGUGGUGUAGCGGUGAAAUGCAUAGAUAUCACGAGGAACUCCGAUUGCGAAGGCAGCUUACUAAGCCAUAACUGACGCUCAAGCACGAAAGCGUGGGGAUCAAACAGGAUUAGAUACCCUGGUAGUCG
rnacentral:rRNA from 1 species